rnacentral:rRNA from 1 species
AAAGAAGACCCUGUUGAGCUUGACUCUAGUCUGACUUUGUGAAGAGACAUGAGAGGUGUAGCAUAAGUGGGAGCAUUGGGAUCAAUCUUGACUAGAGUUUCGGCUUUAGUUGAGACCCCAUUGCACCAAUGAAAUACCACUACUCUCAUCGUUUCUUUACUUACACGGUAAAAAGGAAAUUGUGAUAGUGUCUCUCUCUUCUGGACUUCGGUUCAUGAACGAGGAGGCCACCUAUCACUAAAUUCUAGAGCAAAAUGUGGUUCCAACCAUACAUGCCUUUGACACCUAAGGUUAUCAUGUUCUUUCGGGGACUUGAUGCUUUAAAGACAAGGGUUUGGUUGGUAACCAGUGUAACUUGUACUCACGUACAAGAUUUACAUAACCGCAUAAUCCCAACCGUGGACAUUGUCAGGUUGGGGGUUUGACUGGGGCGGUACAUCUGUCAAAAGGUAACGCAGGUGUCCUAAGGCCAGCUCAGUGAGGCCAGAAACCUCACGUAGAGCAAAAGGGCAAAAGCUGGCUUGAUCCAGACUUUCAGUACGAAUACGGACCGCGAAAGCGGGGCCUAUCGAUCCUUUCGAUGAAUGAGAGUUUCAUCCGAGAGGUGUCAGAAAAGUUACCACAGGGAUAACUGGCUUGUGGCAGCCAAGCGUUCAUAGCGACGUUGCUUUUUGAUCCUUCGAUGUCG